rnacentral:piRNA from 1 species
UGUUGAUGCAGAUAACGUUUUUGGUGUUGC